rnacentral:rRNA from 1 species
GUCCACGCCGUAAACGAUGGGCACUAGGUGUAGGAGGUAUUGACCCCUUCUGUGCCGAAGCUAACGCAUUAAGUGCCCCGCCUGGGGAGUACGGCCGCAAGGCUAAAAACUCAAAGGAAUUGACGGGGGCCCGCACAAGCGGUGGAGCAUGUGGUUCAAUUCGACGCAACGCGAAGAACCUUACCUGGGUUUGACAUCCGCUGACCGCCGUAGAAAUACGGUUUCCCCGCAAGGGGACAGCGAGACAGGUGCUGCAUGGCUGUCGU